rnacentral:tRNA from 1 species
GCGGGAGUGGCGAAAUUGGUAGACGCACCAGAUUUAGGUUCUGGCGCCCUUAUUUGGGUAUGCGAGUUCAAAUCUCGCUUCCCGUA